UGGGGAAUAUUGGACAAUGGGGGAAACCCUGAUCCAGCAAUGCCGCGUGUGUGAAGAAGGCCGCGGGUUGUAAAGCACUUUCAAUGGGAAGGCGCAACCCAUAGAAGAAGCACCGGCUAACUCCGUGCCAGCAGCCGCGGUAAUACGGAGGGUGCGAGCGUUAAUCGGAAUUACUGGGCGUAAAGCGCGCGUAGGCGGUUGCGUAAGUCGAUUGUGAAAGCCCCGGGCUUAACUUGGGAAUUGCAGUCGAUACUGCGCAGCUAGAGUGUGGUAGAGGGAAGUGGAAUUCCGGGUGUAGCGGUGAAAUGCGUAGAUAUCGGAAGGAACACCAGUGGCGAAGGCGGCUACCUGGCCAGAUACUGACACUGAAGCACGAAAGCGUGGGGAGCAAACAGGAUUAGA
rnacentral:rRNA from 1 species